CCCUCAGUUUCCUGUAAAGACUGCAGAGAUCAAAACAAAACUGAAACCAACUAGCCUCGAAUUCUGUUUACACUAUCGCAAUUUGUCUGAUCAAUAUAGCAAGUUAUGUUCUGGGACAUAUGAAAGAUGGUUCGAGUACUUUUCAUUGCCAACGGAUUUGCGAAGAAUUAUCUCGCACCAAUCAAAAACAUCCUCCAAGGGGGAGAAGCAUGGGUGGUCGAAGCCAUUGAUGUGCAGGACUGUGAUGUCGUCGUUGCCCUCUGCACCAUUGUGUCACGAGUUGGAACUGAUGUCGAGGCUGCACUUCGAGAGAUUCCUCCAACCACAAAGCCUGCCCUUCUUGUGGUGCUUCAUCACACAUUCGACUUGGACUACAUGGUACCAAACACCCAGAGGUUUGUGAAUCAGGGACAAAUGAGAACAGCAGACCUGCUGUUCAAUGAGGAUGAUGGACUUCUCACUUGCUCAAGAAAUGAAGAGUCAUUGAAAGACGCUACAGAUUUCCUCAGGGAAAAUGAUAGCUACAGGUCUGCGCGUAUACCUAUAGGCCUACCUAUAGGCCUACCUACCAGCCGAAACUAUGCUGGUUACAGUACACGUGCCACAGACUGGAGAAAAAACACUUGUGUCCUUACGCUUUUGGGUUCAUUUGUCACUAUGAUCAUUGUGCUGAUGUUUUGGAGUCUUCUGAAUUAGUUUAUUAGUUGUGAUAUAGUCAACUCUAUUUGACACUUACCCCAACCUCAAGCUUUGCACAGCCUCUUUCGUCUACCCUAAUCAGUUCACCUUUAUUUGAAUAAAUAAGCUACCGCUGGACAAAGGGGGAAGUCCUGUCAUGUAAAUGUGCCAUAAUUAAAAAGAAGUGAUCACUGA